rnacentral:rRNA from 1 species
GAGUUUGAUCAUGGCUCAGAUUGAACGCUGGCGGCAUGCCUUACACAUGCAAGUCGAACGGCAGCAUGAUCUAGCUUGCUAGAUUGAUGGCGAGUGGCGAACGGGUGAGUAAUACAUCGGAACGUGCCCUGUAGUGGGGGAUAACUAGUCGAAAGAUUAGCUAAUACCGCAUACGACCUGAGGGUGAAAGUGGGGGACCGCAAGGCCUCAUGCUAUAGGAGCGGCCGAUGUCUGAUUAGCUAGUUGGUGGGGUAAAGGCCCACCAAGGCGACGAUCAGUAGCUGGUCUGAGAGGACGAUCAGCCACACUGGGACUGAGACACGGCCCAGACUCCUACGGGAGGCAGCAGUGGGAAUUUUGGACAAUGGGCGAAAGCCUGAUCCAGCAAUGCCGCGUGUGUG